rnacentral:ribozyme from 1 species
AGGAGGUAUUCUUAUUCACUGCAGGGAAGGUCUCUCUCGCUCUCCUUCGAUGCUGAUCUCUUAUUUGAUGGUCCGAAAAGGCCUUUCCCUCGCUUCUGCUCUCUCUGCACUCUGUGC